rnacentral:rRNA from 1 species
GGGGCAGUGCGGCNUGCUAUACAUGCAGUAGAACGCUGAAGAGAGGAGCUUGCUCUUCUUGGAUGAGUUGCGAACGGGUGAGUAACGCGUAGGUAACCUGCCUUGUAGCGGGGGAUAACUAUUGGAAACGAUAGCUAAUACCGCAUAACAAUGGAUGACACAUGUCAUUUAUUUGAAAGGGGCAAUUGCUCCACUACAAGAUGGACCUGCGUUGUAUUAGCUAGUAGGUGAGGUAAUGGCUCACCUAGGCGACGAUACAUAGCCGACCUGAGAGGGUGAUCGGCCACACUGGGACUGAGACACGGCCCAGACUCCUACGGGAGGCAGCAGUAGGGAAUCUUCGGCAAUGGGGGCAACCCUGACCGAGCAACGCCGCGUGAGUGAAGAAGGUUUUCGGAUCGUAAAGCUCUGUUGUAAGUCAAGAACGGGUGUGAGAGUGGAAAGUUCACACUGUGACGGUAGCUUACCAGAAAGGGACGGCUAACUACGUGCCAGCAGCCGCGGUAAUACGUAGGUCCCGAGCGUUGUCCGGAUUUAUUGGGCGUAAAGCGAGCGCAGGCGGUUUGAUAAGUCUGAAGUUAAAGGCUGUGGCUCAACCAUAGUUCGCUUUGGAAACUGUCAAACUUGAGUGCAGAAGGGGAGAGUGGAAUUCCAUGUGUAGCGGUGAAAUGCGUAGAUAUAUGGAGGAACACCGGUGGCGAAAGCGGCUCUCUGGUCUGUAACUGACGCUGAGGCUCGAAAGCGUGGGGAGCGAACAGGAUUAGAUACCCUGGUAGUCCACGCCGUAAACGAUGAGUGCUAGGUGUUGGAUCCUUUCCGGGAUUCAGUGCCGCAGCUAACGCAUUAAGCACUCCGCCUGGGGAGUACGACCGCAAGGUUGAAACUCAAAGGAAUUGACGGGGGCCCGCACAAGCGGUGGAGCAUGUGGUUUAAUUCGAAGCAACGCGAAGAACCUUACCAGGUCUUGACAUCCCGAUGCUAUUUCUAGAGAUAGAAAGUUACUUCGGUACAUCGGUGACAGGUGGUGCAUGGUUGUCGUCAGCUCGUGUCGUGAGAUGUUGGGUUAAGUCCCGCAACGAGCGCAACCCCUAUUGUUAGUUGCCAUCAUUCAGUUGGGCACUCUAGCGAGACUGCCGGUAAUAAACCGGAGGAAGGUGGGGAUGACGUCAAAUCAUCAUGCCCCUUAUGACCUGGGCUACACACGUGCUACAAUGGUUGGUACAACGAGUUGCGAGUCGGUGACGGCGAGCUAAUCUCUUAAAGCCAAUCUCAGUUCGGAUUGUAGGCUGCAACUCGCCUACAUGAAGUCGGAAUCGCUAGUAAUCGCGGAUCAGCACGCCGCGGUGAAUACGUUCCCGGGCCUUGUACACACCGCCCGUCACACCACGAGAGUUUGUAACACCCGAAGUCGGUGAGGUAACCUUUGGAGCCAGCCGCCUAAGGUGGA